rnacentral:rRNA from 1 species
AACCUACCUAUAAGACUGGGAUAACUUCGGGAAACCGGAGCUAAUACCGGAUAAUAUUUUGAACCGCAUGGUUCAAAAGUGAAAGACGGUCUUGCUGUCACUUAUAGAUGGAUCCGCGCUGCAUUAGCUAGUUGGUAAGGUAACGGCUUACCAAGGCAACGAUGCAUAGCCGACCUGAGAGGGUGAUCGGCCACACUGGAACUGAGACACGGUCCAGACUCCUACGGGAGGCAGCAGUAGGGAAUCUUCCGCAAUGGGCGAAAGCCUGACGGAGCAACGCCGCGUGAGUGAUGAAGGUCUUCGGAUCGUAAAACUCUGUUAUUAGGGAAGAACAUAUGUGUAAGUAACUGUGCACAUCUUGACGGUACCUAAUCAGAAAGCCACGGCUAACUACGUGCCAGCAGCCGCGGUAAUACGUAGGUGGCAAGCGUUAUCCGGAAUUAUUGGGCGUAAAGCGCGCGUAGGCGGUUUUUUAAGUCUGAUGUGAAAGCCCACGGCUCAACCGUGGAGGGUCAUUGGAAACUGGAAAACUUGAGUGCAGAAGAGGAAAGUGGAAUUCCAUGUGUAGCGGUGAAAUGCGCAGAGAUAUGGAGGAACACCAGUGGCGAAGGCGACUUUCUGGUCUGUAACUGACGCUGAUGUGCGAAAGCGUGGGGAUCAAACAGGAUUAGAUACCCUGGUAGUCCACGCCGUAAACGAUGAGUGCUAAGUGUUAGGGGGUUUCCGCCCCUUAGUGCUGCAGCUAACGCAUUAAGCACUCCGCCUGGGGAGUACGACCGCAAGGUUGAAACUCAAAGGAAUUGACGGGGACCCGCACAAGCGGUGGAGCAUGUGGUUUAAUUCGAAGCAACGCGAAGAACCUUACCAAAUCUUGACAUCCUUUGACAACUCU